CGGCGGACGGGUGAGUAACGCGUGGGUAACCUACCCUGUACACACGGAUAACAUACCGAAAGGUAUGCUAAUACGGGAUAAUAUAUUUGAGAGGCAUCUCUUGAAUAUCAAAGGUGAGCCAGUAUAGGAUGGACCCGCGUCUGAUUAGCUAGUUGGUAAGGUAACGGCUUACCAAGGCGACGAUCAGUAGCCGACCUGAGAGGGUGAUCGGCCACAUUGGGACUGAGACACGGCCCAA
rnacentral:rRNA from 1 species